GACGAACGCUGGCGGCGUGCUUAACACAUGCAAGUCGAACGGAAAGGCCCUGCUUUUGUUGGGUGCUCGAGUGGCGAACGGGUGAGUAACACGUGAGUAACCUGCCCUUGACUUUGGGAUAACUUCAGGAAACUGGGGCUAAUACCGGAUAGGAUCUCCUGCUGCAUGGUGGGGGUUGGAAAGUUUCGGCGGUGGGGGAUGUACUCGCGGCUUAUCAGCUUGUUGGUGGGGUAGUGGCUUACCAAGGUUUUGACGGGUAGCCGGCCUGAGAGGGGGACCGGCCACAUUGGGACUGAGAUACGGCCCAGAAGCCUACGGGAGGCAGCAGUGGGGAAUCUUGCACAAUGGGCGGAAGCCUGAUGCAGCAACGCCGCGUGCGGGAUGACGGCCUUCGGGUUGUAAACAGCUUUCGACUGUGACGAAGCGUGCGUGACGGUAAUGGGUAAAGAAGCACCGGCUAACUACGUG
rnacentral:rRNA from 1 species